AUUGAACGCUGGCGGCAUGCUUUACACAUGCAAGUCGAACGGUAACAGGCCGCAAGGUGCUGACGAGUGGCGAACGGGUGAGUAAUGCAUCGGAACGUGCCCAGUCGUGGGGGAUAACGCAGCGAAAGCUGUGCUAAUACCGCAUACGAUCUGUGGAUGAAAGCGGGGGACCUUCGGGCCUCGCGCGAUUGGAGCGGCCGAUGUCAGCUUAGGUAGUUGGUGGGGUAAGGGCUCACCAAGCCAACGAUCUGUAGCUGGGCUGAGAGGACGACCAGCCCCACUGGGACUGGGACACGGCACAGACCACUACGGGGGGCAGCAGUGGGAAAUAUUGGACAAUGGGCGCAAGCCUGAUCCAGCAAUGCCGCGUGCAGGAAGAAGGCCUUCGGGUUGUAAACCGCUUUUGUACGGAGCGAAAAGGCUCCCUCUAAUACAGGGGGCUCAUGACGGUACCGUAAGAAUACGCACCGGCUAACUACGUGCCAGCCGCCGCCGUAACAC
rnacentral:rRNA from 1 species